rnacentral:rRNA from 1 species
GACGAACCACACGAACGUUAUUCGGAAUUACUGGGCUUAAAGGGUGCGUAGGCGGCGCGGUAAGUCGGGUGUGAAAUCUCGGAGCUUAACUCCGAAACUGCAUUCGAUACUGCCGUGCUUGAGGACUGGAGAGGAGACUGGAAUUUACGGUGUAGCGGUGAAAUGCGUAGAUAUCGUAAGGAAGACCAGUGGCGAAGGCGGGUCUCUGGACAGUUCCUGACGCUGAGGCACGAAGGUCAGGGGAGCAAACGGG